UACGUAGGGGGCAAGCGUUGUUCGGAUUCAUUGGGCGUAAAGGGUGCGUAGGUGGCGAGGUUAGUCAGGUGUGAAAUCUCGGGGCUCAACCCCGAAACUGCACUUGAUACUGCCUUGCUAGAGUACUGGAGAGGAGAUUGGAAUUUACGGUGUAGCAGUGAAAUGCGUAGAUAUCGUAAGGAAGACCAGUGGCGAAGGCGAAUCUCUGGACAGUUACUGACACUGAGGCACGAAGGCCAGGGGAGCAAACGGG
rnacentral:rRNA from 1 species